rnacentral:rRNA from 1 species
UCUGGCUCAGAACGAACGCUGGCGGCAGGCCUAACACAUGCAAGUCGAACGCCCCGCAAGGGGAGUGGCAGACGGGUGAGUAACACGUGGGAACGUGCCCUUCGGUUCGGGAUAACUCAGGGAAACUUGGGCUAAUACCGGAUACGUGCGAGAGCAGAAAGAUUUAUCGCCGAAGGAUCGGCCCGCGUCCGAUUAGCUAGUUGGUGAGGUAAUGGCUCACCAAGGCGACGAUCGGUAGCUGGUCUGAGAGGAUGAUCAGCCACACUGGGACUGAGACACGGCCCAGACUCCUACGGGAGGCAGCAGUGGGGAAUAUUGGACAAUGGGCGCAAGCCGAUCCAGCCAUGCCGCGUGAGUGAUGAAGGCCCUAGGGUUGUAAAGCUCUUUCGCCAGGGACGAUAAUACGGGUACCGAUAAAAAGCCCCGGCUAAUUCUGUC